CCACCACAGAUGGCAGCCACAAAAGACCUGCUGAGAAUCCAAUCUAAUACAGCAGCAAAGACUCAAGGCACUUCCCCUGGGAGCAGGGGUGUGAGCUGCAAGGAAAGGAUCCAGAGACCCGCCCAAGCCCAUGCUGAGGUUGGGGGCAGUGCUGAGUUUGAAACUGUGGAGCUCUUUUGGGGCAGAUUGAUGCAUGCCAGAUUCUGAAGUCACAAAAACUCAAAACGUAUCAGCCAUUCUGGAGUCAAGAGAAUCCUAGCUCUGUCUUAGAGUGGCAAACUCUACUGAAACUGCCCCUCUAUGGGCCAAGCCUUGUCGGUCGUCUGACCCUCCUGCUGUUGGCAUGGAUGCACCACAGAACAAGGCCUCCACCGUUACCUGUUUGAGCAGCUGGAAUCUAGCCCUCCAGAACCCUGCUGGGACCCCUGGGCAGUCCGCAGGUGUCAGCCCUGGUGAAUGAACUUGGUCCUCCUGUCCUGCUCUACUGCACAAGGCCACGCCCAGCUUUCUGCGGCCCUGGCCCUGUCCACGGUGCUAACGCCCAUCGCGUCCCAAGGCUUGUGUAGCUCUUCCCACCUCAACCCUUCACCCCUGCCUCCAACUUUAAGAUCUCAGAAGAUCUCCCCAGUCACCAGGGAUGAAUUCUGAGCUCACGUUCUGGAAUGCUGCCAGGAAGGAAGCGGCAUUGGUGUAAAGAAUCACACAAAAGGCCGCAGAUUAUAAGACCCUUUGAGCAGAGGUCAUAGCUGCCCUGUUCCUCUCGAGACCCCAGCACCAAUCACUCAGUAGCUUCUUGGUAAAUGCUGACAGAGUGUGUGAAAAGGCAGGGAUUUGGAAGGAAGUUUCAGGGGGCUGUGCUGACUUUUGCUCCUGGCAGAAAUCUGCAGGUGCCAUGUCAUUCUGCACACCUGCUCCAGGCUACUUGUGGGCAAAGUUCAAAAGUAUGGCUAACCUUCUGGGGACAGUUCCCUCACCCUACCCAGGACCUUUGAAGAAGAGAAAGACAACACCAGAUGUGAGGAGGAAGGAAGCCCUCCCUGCCCUGUGCCCAGGGGCCUCCGCUCCCUCCACCCAUUGAAGUGUCUGCAGCUGGUCUGUCUUCGCUACUGGACUGUGAACUCCGAGACACACCUGUGUGUCUCAUCCACUGCCGCAUUCCUGUCGCUACCGUGGUGCCUGGCACCUGGUGAGCACGCAGGUGGGAGGACAACAGCUUAGACAGAUUCGUCUGUUUUACCACAUGGCUCUCCGGCAUGCACUCUGUUCGGCCCCAAGCUUGCAGCAGCAGGAAAAAAGGCUUCCUCCCUCGCCUCACCCAGGGGCAGCUGGGAUCUGCGGGGAGGUGUAUCAUAUCAAUUCAUGUAAAGGAGAGAUGCAUAGUACCAACAGAGAGCGCAGAAGAAGGUCAUGUGAUGAGCUCCUCUCCCUCUCUCUAUUGCAUCUGAGCCAUCCUAGGGUCCCCAGUGCCCAGCACGGCAUCCGGCACAAGGUAGGCAUCCCACAAACAGUGAGUGGGAUUGAACUCACCGCAGGAAGGCUAGUUGAGCCUUUGCCGCUCUCUUCUCCCCCUCCCUGGGCCUAUUUUGCUGCCAUUCCUUCCCUGUCCUCCCGGGAGGCCCUGCAUACCUUGAGCGCUGACUGAAAGACCUGAUAGCGGUGCCUUCUAUUCUGGGCACAGGUGGGAUAGCCACGUGCAUAUGGAGGCUGGGAGCCUCUUUGUGUUACCUGGGAGUUUGUGUCAACGAGCACCUGGGUCUCUAGAGAAGGACCCAAGUCUUCAGUGGAGCCAUGGUUUAUGGACCCAGCUCCAGGAGCCGAAAAAACCAAUUAGCCUUCUCUGCUUCUCCACCUGGAGGCAGAAUAAUUCUAGUAAAGUCCUUCCUCCUGGACAGAGACUUCGUCUGCCCGGAUCUUAGCUCUGAGAUGUCCCCAUCCAGCCUUUCACCCCUCUUGACUGACGAUGCUCAAGUCAGGAGUUCUGAGCUUCCUAGGCCAGUUUUCUUACAUUAAAACCAUGACUACUUACUGAUACACUGGAAGCCUUUUCCAGAUUUCCAUUUUUUCUAAACCUUAUUUCUCCAUCACAAUAGGAUUUAAAAAUCUUUGCCUGGCUAGAUCAUUUAUUUACAUACACAGUCAUUUACAUAAAGAUUUUUUUUAGGUGCCUACAAUAGCCAGGUGCUGGAUUAGUCACCAAGAAGGCGGAGGUGAAUCAAAGACAUGGUCCCUGUCCGCGGGAAGCUUGUAGUUUGUGAGGAAGUUCACACUUACCUGUGCUUACCGGCACAGUACAGUCUGUUAAGGGCAGCCCGGCUUUUAAUCUAGGACAUCAGAUUCUUUGUUCACUGACUAUCUAUUGUUCACCUGUGACACAUCAGGCAUGAAUAAUAGCUAUAGGGCUGAUGCAGGCCACCCCUCACACAGAUGAAGCACAAAGAAGUCUGUGAACAGCCACUGCACCCUGCAUUUGUGAGAACGCCAGGAGCUAGAAACUGGGUGCCAGGCUCCCCAGGGUGGUGGAGAAGACUGCCUGAGGUGGGAGCCAGGAGCAUUUGCACCUAGCAGAGGUGAACAUGAACAGACAGAGCCUCUCAGUACGACUGGGUGGUGUGGAAGCUGACUCAUGUUGUUCUCCUUACUGCAGCCCCUAAUGCUGGGCCCACAGCCCUGAGCUGCAUCCUCAGGCCCUGUCUCUGCUUCUGUGGCCUCUGGAUGUCAGGGCCUCGACUCAAAAGGUUUAGAGCUCCAGGACCUGGAGGAAGGGAAGAGGUAGUAAGGAGUGAGGAAUAGGACGGGUGGGUAGAGAUCCAUUUCUAAUCCGUGAUGUUUCCAUAGAAAAAAUUGCUGUCUUCCUCCAUGAGUUGUGGGUCUAGCUCUUCAUUGAUAAAAUCUGCUAAAAGUCAGACAAUUAGAGCUCUGAGGGCUCUUUGGCUUCUCUUACUUCUGUGGUUGGAAGAGGGAGAUGGAAGAGGGUGGGUCUGCAGAGAAACUCUGGCUCCACCCUCUGCCAAGGGACCCAAAUCAGCAUUUACUGACAUUUCUCAGGCUGCCCUCAGUGCCGGUGACAUUUCAGAGACCUGCCCUCUUACAUGGCUGAAGGGUACAAGGCUGACCCUGAAACCCUGCUCCGGGGCCAGUCCAGCUCUGACCACAGGCACCACUUGGGAACAAGCCUCAUUUCCCAAACAGCAGCCAAGCACCAUCUCUGGGAUUAGUGCUGGCCUCACUCAGGGACCUGCAUCACACUUGAAAAUACUGCCUGGGGCAAGGGUGAGGCUGGUCUGGGCCCAGCACCUUCUUUACCAAACCUCAAUGUCCUUUCUUACCAACACCUCUAUAAAACCAAGCCCAUAACCUCUGACUCCUUCAAAAGGCACUUGUGGCCUCCAGCUAUACAUUUGUGAGAGGAUGGAGUUGUCCAUAAACUGUAGAUUGUUGUCCCAGUGUGAGGAGUGCUGGUGGGGACAUUAAGACCCGAGGGUGGGUGUGGGAAGAUUAACAAGUGCAAAAGCUGGAGGAACCAAGCCAGAUUCUGGCAAUUUCAGAUUGAAGUGAGCCACUUGGCAGACAGAGGUUAACAGGGGAGAUCCAGGGAACAUUUUGAUGUCUGCAUUGAUGCUGUUAGAGCUAAGGGCUGUAUUGGAACCAGCCAGGAGGCCCUACCUUGCUUACUAGUUU